GUCACGGCCCACGCCAGUCGUCAACGCUUCCCUGCACCGCCCAGGGCCUCACGCACCGGGCGGAAGUGGGAAAACUGGUGGCGGGGCUCGGAAGGAUGGGCUAAUCUUACGCGGAGUGUUGUGAGAGGGAGAAAAGGAGGAUUACUUAUCUGGGAAAAAAAAUAAGCAAUAACUGGAGGAAGAAAAGGAUGAAGAGGCCUAGAGGACAGUCAACCAAGUGUUCAGCUACAAAAUGCUUAUGAGAAGCAGAAAGAACUUUCAGAGCUAUUCAUCCUCAUCAUAUUUAUCUGAGGGACAGUGAAGGCACUUCAUAUACAAUGUCUCAUCCAGUUGGAGAACGCUUCCAAAUGUUUUGGGGUACAUGUGAAGAACAUGCAAGAUUAUUGCACAGAUGAAGACAAAGAUUUGGAGAAUUAGGAAGCUUGCUCAAUAAUGUUGAGGAACCAGCCUCCUCGGUUGCUUCUGAUUGUAAACUAGCUGUGAGAAGGGCACCACUCUGCUACAAAAGCAAUCUUAGAAAUUAACCAGCACAAAGAUCAUCCAUGACUAGAGUAACCCCAAAAUUUGUGUUGUUCCACAUGGUCAUCCUAAUUUCUUUCGGCCGUGCUCCAUGCUCCAAAAGUACCACCUUCCAACUCUCCAUGACCUGACACCAUCAAGACUCCUAUUUCCUCGGUUCCUAGGAUAAAAAAAAAAAUCUGUCUAGAAAUGCAUUUGCUGAAUGAAUGCACACUAAGUGAGCUGAAAAUGGAUAAAACAAAAUGAAAUUCAGAAGGGGCCUGGCGCAGUGGCUCACACCUGUAAUCCCAGCACUCUGGGAGGCCGAGGCAGGCAGAUCACGAGAUAGAGUCUGGCUCUGUCACCUAGGCUGGAGUACAGCAGCAUGACCAUAACUGACUACAGCCUCGAAUUCCUGGGCUCAAGUCAUCUUCCCACCUCCUGAGUAGCUAUGACCACAGUUGAUUACAGCUGAAAGAACUGCAAGAUCCAGACUCUGAGUAGCAAUACAAAUGGAGCCACAAAGGCAAGAGAGAGGACAAAAACAAGGACUCUAGAAGAAUCUGAAGCUUCUGGAACUUACAGCUAUAAUAAUCAUUAAACACAGCCCAACUCCAGGUUUAGCUACUGGACAUAGUUGAAGAAAGAAUCAGGUCAUUUUAACAUCAUUUAAAUGGAAAUUUCCCAAAUUGAAGCACAAAGAGGAAAAAGAAUCUCAAAAACCCAGAACACUGAAGAACUGUGGACAAUAUCAAAAGAGAUCAUUUAGAAGGAGUGCAUUUUUAUCAGAGGGACUGAAAAGCCUUUGAGAAUCAGUUAAAAAAAGGAAUGCUCAUGAGAGUCGCAACUUUACAAUGUAUAAUCAUCAAACGUACGCCCAUAAGCAUGUGGUGCUGGCUGGUCUUGGAUGAAAUUGCAAAGGAAAGGAGUUUGGAUUUUCCACACCCUCUUUUUUUUUUUUUUUUGCAGCCUUUUAUCACCUUUUAAUAAUUCCCCUGCAGGAGAUGUUCCAUGCUCUUAGGUUGUCCUCUCCCAACUGGAGAAUAGCAGCUAUAUAAUGAAUUAAUUCAAAGGAAAGGAAGUAGGACUGUGUUGUAAUGUUCUAUGCUGCCCAGAAGCAAUACAUUUUAAAAGACAACUUCUAAAGACACUUUGAAGAAGCAAGUUUCUUUUUUGGCUGUAGGGGAGGGAAGAAUUCAAGACCCAACAAUCAAGAAGAAUUGGAGUAUAGUCAUUUCCUAAACUCUCCCCGUGAGAAUCACCUGAGGGUAAAACUUGGCUUUCCCCAGCCUUUCUCUUGACCUUUGUUCUUUAGGAGACAGACCUAAAUGUCUGUGUUCUGCACGGUUCUUGUAAUCAGCUGAGUUUGGAAAUCACUGGUCUAGGGGAUUACCUACUCUGCAUUCACACAAAGCUGAAGGUAGAUGGAGUUGUGGUAAGUUGUACUUCUUAUGAAAGGAUCUGAGUUUGAUUCUUGACUCUGUUACUAGACAAGUAGCUUGAGCUAAUCAUUUAGCUCUCAUGAAUGGCACCUGUGAAUUGGAUCAAUUAGCCAAUUAUUACAGGGUUGUUGUGGGGCUUAGAAAGCAUGCAUAUAAAAGCCUGGCACAUGGAAUAUCCCCCAAUAUUAAUAAUUCUUUCAUUUUCUUUUUUAAAGAGAUGCAGCCUUGCUGUAUUGCCCAGGUUGGAGUGCAGUGGCUAUUCACAGACACAAGUCAUAGCACAAUACAGUCUUAAACUCCUGGCCUCAAAUGGUCUUCCUACCUUAGCCUCCUAAAUAGUUAGGACUAUAGGUGCAUGCCAUAGUGCCCGGCCUGAUAAUUCUUAAUAGUAGUUGAGUCAAAUAAAGAAAAUCGGAUUUAUAUCAUUUCAACUGGGUAUUCAGAGUCUUUAAAAGAUUUUAUUUAAGUGCUUUCAAACAUAUAUAAAAAUAUAGAAAAUAGCAUAAUAGCCCUCCUCAUAGCUAUUCCUUAGCUCCUCAAUUAUAAACACAUUGCUCUGCCUUUGUGUAAUUCUGUUUAAUUUUUUUAAGUGGUAAGAAAUAUAAAAUAACUUCUGUGGUAAGCUAUGCUUAGUAUUCUUCCCCAUGAUUGUUUUAUUUUUAUUUUUUAUUGCAUUUUUGGUUUUGGGGUACAUGUGAAGAACAUGCAAGAUGGUUGCAUAGGUACACACGUGGCAGUGUGAUUUGCUGCCUUCCUCCCCUUCACCUAUAUCUGGCAUUUGCUUAGUAUUUUUUAAACCUUCUAAAAGAUGAUGCUACCUCUUUGGGGAAGGAAAAAAAAUACACUAGGAAAACUCAGUGUAAGUGAGCACUUAUUCCUGACAAAUGGAUAAGCAGUAGUGACUUUUUCCCAGCCAAAGUUCUAACUGUACAAAAUCCAUCCCAAUGCAAUCCCUCAGGUCUGCAUGCUGUAUCUACAAACAAGUCCACUGCCUGAGCCAGAUAGCUCCUAACAGCUGUGGUAACAUGCUAUCCGUGGCAUCGUAAGGUUAACUCUAACAGAUGUGUUUUCACAAAAAGCAAAGGAACCUUGCUGGUCUGAGCACAGGAACAGUGUGAUAUUGGAAAACCACAUAGCAGAGUCACAUCCAGCACAUCCUUCUAGCCAUUGCACAUUGUGUGCAGAAACCUAUGCAUCCAAGAAGCUCCUAUCAGAGUGAAGAAAGCACUGUGAGAUUGAAAUCCUGGGCCUGAUGUGCUGGGUCAAGUCUUUGCCAUUUGAAAGUAAGAAGGACAUUCAUUCAUGACUUCUCCAUUCCCAAAAGACCUUGCAGGUAUUAGCAUGUAGACAAGGUGACGUGUGGUCCUUGUGUUUGGCCAUUUCUAAGGCUUGUUGUUCUUAAACCAUCACUCUGAUAUACUACCAACCCCAGCAAGAACUUGCAGCUCCCAAUGUUUGUUUAUUCAUAAGUUAACCGUUGAAUAAAAAAUGAGUCAGUUUCAUAAAGAAUAACCAGAGCCCAAACAAGCAAAAUAUGAAAAGGAAGGGAAAAAACACAACCACUAGUGUAGUUCAGAGUUCAUCUCUGCUGACUGUUCAGCACUGAAACCAGGAUUCAUCAUCAUCUAGUUCUUAUUCUAUGAAUCCAGGGCACCGCUCCUCUGGGAUGUGUGCUGUUGGGAAUGGCGUGUUGCAGCAGGUUCUGAGGCACCCACUGAAGUUUCAGGAAGUCUGGGAUUGACAAAAAGAAGGCACGAGGGCUCCAGUCCAUGGCAGCAGUGUUUAGUUUUAUUGUCUUGUUCUUACUCUCUGGAAUUUGCCAGGAAACUUUGCAGCCAGACACCUUGUCCUGAGAAGGCUGUGUAGCACCUGGUCCCUCUGCCGUGUACCUGCGCCUCUCAGGCACUCUGAAGGGAUGGCUUUCCCACAGUGAGGAUGAUGAGGGCGGCUCACUGGGAAACUAACUCUGAGCACUGCUGGCCAUAUACUCGCAUUCCUGCCUGCCGGCCCAACUCCCUCUCUUGGACGCUGAUAAUCCCCCAAACAAUGCCCUGUGACUGCAAAGUGAUGGGACUGAUCUCCCAGAGCCAGACCUGGAAUUCUGUCUUGUUCCUUUUCAGUCAUGCUGGCCAUGUGAUGCACUCUGAACAUCUUAGAGGACAGAGAGGCCAAAAAGGUGUCCAUUUUUACUUCAACUUCUAAAGCCUGUUAAUCUUGGUUAGAAGAAGGGGAGAGAAGGGAGUAAAGACAAGAAGAAAAGGAAUGAAGGGAGAUGAGCAUGGGUGGACAGUUGGCUACUAGUGACAAGCAAGAGGUCUGGCUCUUCAUUUCUAUUAGCUUAAACCCAAAACAUUUCCUCCUUUGCUAGGAUGCGCUACCUUUCUUAGGAUAAGCUUUUCAUUAUUUCUGAGGUGAGGAGGGAUAACAAGUUGAUUUUAAAAGUUUUCCUUUAAACUGUGGAAACAAGAAUCUCUUAGCAAUGCCACGUCUUGCCCUGACAUUCUUCAAAGCUCUAUACGUUUUAACCUCAUGUUGAAUUCACUUUUACAGUUUUUGUUGCUAUAAUAACAGCUUUCUUUCACUCCUUCAAUGUUCAAGUUGCUUUAUUCACUAUAAAUCAUCCCAUCAAAAUAUCUAGGUUGUUCCCAAGUGAAGAAAAACAUUGGGCAAAAUGGGGAACAGAAAAUUUAACCAUUAAAUUCCACCUCUUCCCCAACUCUAUCAGCAACGGCCAAGACCAAACCUAGUGCAUCUUACAUGCCCUACUUAGCACAACAGACACCACCAUGUCAAAUUAUUUGCUGGGGCAGUUCAGGCUUCCACCUGAAGAAACUGAGUAAGUGCCCACAGCUGCUGGCUGCCCAUGGCCUCUCAGAAAAUAAAUGCCUUCCAGGGUAACUUUCUGUUCUCUCUGUGUGAAUGAAACUCACCAGUCCUGGAAACUGUUUACACACAUUUGGUAGUCAUUCCUCCCUUAAAGGGAUCUGAAUAAAGAGCCAGAGAAAAGGGCUCUUUCUCUCCCAAAGCUUGCUGUUUCUCUCUCUCUUGGGCCACCUGACUCCCCUUAGCCUUGUGCCUUUGUACAGCUGGUGUUGACAUCAUGUUAAUUACACAGUCCUGUGUUUACAUGUGGGUCUCCUGAAAGGCUAGCAACAAGUUAGCUGUGCAGAGGCAGGUUGCAAAGCUCAUUUCAUUGACUUGCCCUUAUGUCUGAAAUGAACUUUUCCAAUGGCGACUGGUGAAUGAUUCACAGGCAUCCCUAGGAGACAAGCACAUAGCAUCAUCCCUACUUUGUCAACAAAGAAAUGGGCCAUGGUGGGAGCUGCUGAUCCAGGGCUGCACAAGUAUGUCAGCAACAGGGUCAAGUGCUACUCUUGGGGCUAGGCUCACAGUCAUCUGCUCCUAUCCUGAGUGGCUCUACUGCCUCUGGACAACACAUACUCUAGGGGUAUCUCACAAGCUUGGCAGGGAGAAAACAUUAAUACACAUAUGAAAAAUGCAGCACUGGUUGAGUGCUAGCACCUUAGCUCUCUAAAGGCUCUAGCUCUGUAUCAGAAUGACUAUGGGCCACUUUUGUGCCAUAUGCAAAUAAAGCUUCAUGAGAGCAGGAAAUUAUGAUGUUUUCUUGGCUGCUCUAUCUGCAGUGCUUAGAUCUGUACCUGGCUAAGGUCAGUAGGGACUUAGUAGUACUAGAUGAGUAAUGAAUGACCCUUGGCUACAUUCUCUUAGCCACUAGGAAUAACAGCUAAGCCUUCCCUAGCUGGUAUGGUACCCCUGUGAACCUUGCACUCCUCUUACCCACCUCAGUGAGAAAGGGUAUUUAAAUAGGCAUUUAAACAGAUGAUCAGAUCUUCUGUGAUUUCUUCAGAGACACUCAAUCACAAGCCUAUUUAUAGCCAUUCAUAGAAUGAUCUCUAUGUCACAGACAAAAGUACAAAUAUAUAGAGGUCAGAUGAUUUGUUCACACUCCCUCAGCUAGGACAAAAAUCUCAGAUCUCCUGAUUUUAUACCCCACACCAGAUUUUUAAAUAUAGUUUUGCCUCAGGGUUAGGCUAUAGCUGUAGCCACGCUGGCUAUCCACAGGUCCUAGACUGAACAGUUACGUAGAAGGUUUAGAAACUACAGAGAAAGCCCUAUCCUUAGCAUUGUGCCCUCAGCUCUAGAAAGCUGAGUUGAUACACAGGUUGCUAUUAGAUAUUCAUUUGAAGUACAGAAAUUGUGAAGACUAAGCCAGGGUUGGCAAAAUGAGCAUUUGUAAGGGUCAACUCAAUUAGAGGGUAUUUUGUUCCAGAAACAAUCUUGGUGUUUCACAUGAGUGGGAAUCUAACAGCACUCCCCAUUUCACAUGCUAGGAAGUAUGCAUUUAUUUGCCUUUUCCUUCAGGAAACAAGUUUGUUGUAGGAAAAUUCUUAUUUCCUGGAUAGAAAAUUUAAGGCAGAUAGAUGGAUGUUUGAUAACUUGUAUGGAACUGUAUUGGGGAAUCUUACAUAAGACAGAAUUCUAGCAUUAGCUUUUUUCAAGCAUUACCUCUUUUCAGAGUCUUGUGCAUUUCUUAAAUUCAAAUGUGUAGAUCAUUUUUCUGUGAAGGGAAUUUUAUAAAAAGACUAGGGAAAAUAUACAAUGUAAAGAAGUAUCAACUCUUUGGAUCAACUUUGGUCCUUAUGUCUUAGAUACCAGGGGAUUCAAACAAACCCCAAAUGCCUCUGGUCACCCCCAAUUCUACAUUGUCUUUUCUUCCCAGCUUUGGAGAGGGUACCUGCUCAAGUGCCCCAGUCUAGAAGGAUCAGAACAUGAUACAGCCCUUAGAGUGAGGAUCCUGUGUGACAGUCGGGCCCUUUUGCUCAGUGUUAAAUAUUAAUUUGGAAGUUUCUACUUGUAGAGCCUCAGCCUGAGAAGAAACAACUUGGCAGACUCAGAGAAGUUCUCCUAAACCAAGUGCUGUUGGUUUGUCCCACACAGGAUCACCCAGUCCCGCCACAUUCUUCCACAAAGUCAGAAGUUCACUUAGAUUGCUAGGCUCACUGAGAUUACAGGAGAAAACAAUGAGAGGCUACUAAGAAUAAAUUCCCUGGAGGUGGUACAUCUGACCAGAAGAGCCUCAGAGCUGACAAAUGAGGCUGGCUUUAGACAGCCCAGGGAUGACUGCUUUCUCUUACGUCUUCAAGUCAGGAUUACCAUGCUCGGCAGUGUCUUCUCUAUAGGGAUGAUUAGGAACAGCAAUCCAGCUGGAAGUGGGUGCCAACUGGACCUUGAAGUCAUGCUUUCAUAGCACUUUAUAUAAGCUUAAGAAAACAGCAACUGUUCAUAUAAAGAAUUGGGAAAGGUGGCCCAAUGGCAAUAAAGUGGGUCUGAAGUCCGAAAGCCACCGCUUGGCAUGGCACUGAUGCCUAAAAGCCUUGAUGCAAUUUUUACAUAAAAAACUGAGCAGCAGAUUCUCUCACUAUUCUGAAAAAUGCACAUUUUUCAGCAAUUAAGAGGAACCUGCUGCAGAUAUUUAAUUAAUCGAGACUGAGAAAUAUUUUCCAGUGGGAAAACUCACAUGGUGUCUCCUCUAUCUUUCAGGAUAUAUAACGUCUAGAAAGCUCAAAUGACAUUUUCAUGUCUUCCUGGUGCCAAGCCAGUGAAUGGGUGGUGUGAAAUGUUUAUACCAACAGUCAUUACUAAAGUUUCCCACAGGGCUGAAUCAAAUUAAUUAGGCUUAGCUAAACCUGUCAGCCACACCCGGGAUCCAGCUGAAUAACCCUUACAGGAUUUGGAAACACCCCUUCGACAAACACUCAUUUAUUACUACCUGUAUUCUGUGAAUCACUCUGCUGCAGAUAAUGCCUGACUGAACUUCCUCAAAACACGGUGCUUCAUUGACUAGAAGUCAAAGACCUCUGCUUUGCUUUUCAUUUUAAAAUGUUGUUCUUCAAACCACUUUACAAAUAUUAAUGUAUAUUUCAUUUUGACCCAUAGUUUGCUCAGAACCAAGAAUAAUGCAGUUUCUUUUUCUUCAGGCCCUAAUCAAAGGACUGGAUAGUUUCUACCAGCACUAUUUGUUUUCCUUGAAAUUGAUGGGAAUCUCUUUUUCCUUUCCAAAGCCUGUAGAGUCGUCUUAGAAUGCAUUAGAAAUUCUUCUGAGCCUGAAGCUUGUGUCUUUCUUGGAGGGCUCUGGAAAGUCAUUCCAGAGCAAACUCAUGUCUUUGGGCACCAACAUUAUCUUCGGACCCAGGGUUUCAUUCAACACACAUUUAUGGGGUGUUGAUUAGUGCCAGGGUACUGUUCAAAAUGUUGGGCAAACAAUAUAAAUGCUUCCUGCUUUCAAACCAAGGCUUCUAGUGGUGGGUGGCUGGUAGGGGGAGAAAAUAAGCAAAUCAACAAAGAAGCAAAGUAAUUGCUGACAGUGACAAGCAAUAUUAAGACAGCACAAAGGAUAAUGGCCUAGAGAGUGACUGGGGAUGUGAGUGUUGAGUUGGUCGGGAAGAUUUUCUGAGGGAGUAGCAUUUGAGGUGAGAUCUGAAUAAUAAUAUUAUGCUAAUUGCAUCACAUUUUGUUACAUUUACUUUUCUAUUUUUAAAGCAAAUCCACAAGGAUAUAAAGUCAAACAGAACAAAGAGACUGAUUAGGAGACCAUUGUCCUCUCAUACUAUUGUUUUUUUUUUUUUUUUUUGGUAGGCAGACAUAUUCAGGGAAUGCUGGUAAAUUGGUUCAGCCUCUAAGGUGAGCAACACUGCAGUAGCUAUCCAAAAUUAAAAUGCACUAUCCUCUGAUCCAACAAUCCCACUUGUAGAAAUUAAAUCUAAAGAAAGAAUGGUACAUAGGCAGGUUGGGGGUUGGUUAAGUAAAGUAUGGAACAUCCAUAUGAGAGGACACUUUUUAGCUGUUAGACAGAAUGAGGUUGGGCCCAAGAUAAAUUGUUAAGGGAAAAAGAGCAAGGUGCAAGAACUAUGUGUUUUGUUUAAUAUGCUAUAAUUUGAGGGAGUAUAUAUUUUAAAAAAUUGAUAACAGUUUUUGUCUCAGCAGGGGUUAGGGGAGAAUUAGAAUUAGAAGGACAUCAAACAAUACUUAUAAUCUCUAUAUGUUCUUCUGUAACUUUCACAUUGUUUUACUUGUACAUAUAUUGGCUAUUUAAAUAAACAGACGUUUUGCAAAAUAAAGCAUUGCAUUAUAAAUAGUUACAAAUAUAUUUUAUCUAAAGUUCAUUCCAUGUGUACUUACACAUCACAAUUUUAACUGGAAUAAAUUUUAGAUGUUCAAAGAGGGAAAGCUCCCGUGGUCACCCUCUUAGCCAGCUCAAUAUAUGGGCAUUUCUCAGCCUGGGCUUAUGUUUCCUAAACUCAGUCUUACAAAGACCAUUUCUCAGUAGGGUCUUUGUAAAAUUGAGUGUAGGAAACAUUUCAGGAAAGGUAUUUUCUCCUCUUUGGAAGACAGUGCACUCAUUUCUGAUCCAUUGAAAGAUUUGAAUAAUUAACCUGACCAAUGUUUAGCUAGAGAACUGAAAAAGAUGAUUUUAAAAAAAAAAACACUUUCCAAUGCAUAUAUAAUGUUUCCUCCUCUAAGGAGGGUUUCUAAGGCCUUGGUUUCUAAGAAUGAACUUGCUCCAGCAGAAAUUUUUUUCUGUAUUCUCACAGCUGAUUUAUGUUCUCAACCAUUUAUAAUUAUGGAUUGAGAAGAGUCUUUAGCUACCAGUAAAAUUUUAAGAAACACAGUGGAAAUCAAAUGUUGUUUAGAUGUCUGUAUUUUGUGCACAAUCUCUAUUGUUUCCUACAGUGCUGUGUCAGGAAAGGACACCAAAUAAUACUUACAACCUCUGCUUCUUGUGGAAAUAAAAUCUAUCUCCUGUUAAAUAAAGCACUUAUGCACACACAAGUUUUAUUUGAAAGAAAAUUUGCCAUUGAUAAAAUGAAGAGCCAUGGGAAUGACAUUCAGUAUCUAUUUUGAAAAUGCAUUAAAUAUGUAUCUAGUAGAAUUGUGAGGAAUUAAGUCACUUGUAGUCAAAAUUUCCAUUGGCUACAAGCUGGAUGUGAGCAUUUAUACAGGGGCAGGGCUUGGAGAAUUGGCAGAGUGGCCUACAGUUUGAGUCCCAGUGGUGCUGCAGGAAGGAGAAAUGGCUCAUUACAAGAAGCCAUGGUAACACCCCAGAGAGCAGCUGCAUGUGGAGCUGAGUCAGAGAGCACAACCUGACCAAGAAAGGGCAAAGAGGACAGAAACUGCUUAUCGUCAUGUGGGUAGAAUCUUUGAACACAACAAUCAAGAAAUAAAUGUCAUCCGUUGGUGGCAGAGUCUACCCAUUCUGUGAAGUAGGGUACAGAUGAAAGGUAUUUCUGAAUACCAGCUCACUGGCCAUUGGUCUUCCACUUCAGUACAAACCCCAGAGAAAGCCAGAGUCAUUAUUACAAGAGGCCUUUCCAAGCACAGAUCUUUCAAAGUGCAGGCCUGUUAUGUGUGGUGACAGGACCUGGGAGUAGGGGAGGAAGUUAGCAGAAAGUGGGUCACUAGAGAGGGCUGGGCUAGCUCCCGAUCAGGGUCCCUUGUCCUCAUGAUUAGGUUUCAGGGAAGGCUUUUGUUUUUGUGGACCUUAACAACACACACCCUCUAGUAUUCUUGUGGGAGAGGGAAGGAAAGGGGUGCCAUGUGGGCACUAGAGAGCAGGGAUAGAGAGAGAAAAAUCUGAGAGAGAGAGAGAGAAUAAUUCAGACAGAACUCUAGAACUCAAGACUCUGAAAGUACCUCCAUUCCAAGGAGGGACUGCCCUACUGCAGGCAGCAAAUAUGCCUUGAGAGUCCUGAAGAUCCGUGUGACAAUUGUGAAUAAUCUUGAAUUUUGACUUGUAUUUUCCACCUUCUAUUUUUGAUGUUCUUCUUUGGAGUCACUCAGUUGUAAUCCGAUGAGGUUCCCUAUGAAGCUUAUUAUUUCUCUAAGGUCAAAGUCUUUACUAUUAAUGAUUUAAUCUAUAGACUUACAAUUUCUUAUAAGAUAAAUUGAGUUGGAAAGGACAGUAAAGAUAUGCCCCACUAUUUUUAAGAUGAGGAAACUGAGACCUAGAGGGAUUGAGUGAUUUGGUCAAGGCUCUCAGAAAAGCUGAGACUAGAAUUCAAGCUUUCUCUAGGCAGAGUCCUUUGCUACUUGAAAAGUAACAUGAAUUUCCUGCUUUCACAUUCUACUCACAUUUUGAUUCAUUUUAUUUCAAACUGUGUGGUCCAUUUCCUUGUCUCAAAAAGAACAGAAUAUGUUGAUUCAGCAGGAAUUUUCAGAGUGGGUCAGGGGUGGGCUCUACAAGGACUCACAAAACUUAAUGUGAUCAGAGGAAUCUUAAUUGACAAAUAAUGUCCAGAUUUACAAAUACUUGACACAUAUAAACUGACUCCAGCUUAAAAUUUUGAAAUACAGAAGAGUUAACCUUUGUUUUCAGGGGAAGCCAUGACUGUUUAAAAACAAUGUGCUGGUGGUCAGACCUGUAAUCCCAGCACUUUGGGAUUUGACCACCAUGCCUGGCUAUCAUUUUCAUGUUUGUUUGUUUGCUGGCUUAUUUAUUUUGAACCUUGCAACUACCCCAUGAAACAACAAGAAUAUAUCAUUCCCAUUUGAAAGAUUAGAAAUACUCCUGCAACAUAGCAAAACCCCAUCUCUACAAAAAAAUUAAAAAUUAGCCAGGCAUGGUGGCACACACCUGUAGUGCCAGCUACUCGGGAGGCUGAGGUGGGGAGGAUCUCUUGAGGCCGGGAGGUCAAGCUGUGGUCAUGCCACUACACUCCAGUCUCAGUGACAGAGCAAGAUCCUGUCUCAAAAUAAUAAUAAUAACAAUAAUAAUGAUAAGGCUGGAUACAGUGGCUGACACCUGUAAUUCCAGGACUUUGGGAAGCUAAAGCAGGCAGAUUGCUUGAGCUUGAGUUUGAGACCAGGCUGGGCAAGAUAGCAAAACCCCCCCGCCAAAAAAAAGAAAAAAAAACAAUGUGCCAUUAGCUUGAUGAUGUCUUGAUUUGGUCUAGGAUUCUGCACUUAAUAAUUGCAGACAAUACUGAGGUGGUGAAAAGGAAAAAUAAAUUUGGCAUUUUUCAGUUCAGUAAGUCUAAACAAACCACAUCAUUUUACAUCAAGUAGAUCAUGUUUUACUAGAAUUUUCCAGUUUGGCAGUCUAUCUUGAUGAAACCAACUAAAUUAUUGUCACUGUGGCUAGCUGUGAAAGAAUACAAUUUAAAAAAUCUGGUGCCUUAUCUUAUAUCUUCUCAGGUAGCACAUCUCCCAGAGAUGGUGAAAUACCCCAUUCUGCUGGGUCAGAGUGAUUUUCUCCCUCCUUCACUUGGGAGUGGGUCUGUGAUGCACAGUGAUACUUUGGCAGAGGUAGACUAUAUUUUUAAGUGUCUUAGUUAAUCUUAAGUUAAACUUAUGUUAACCUUAUUCCUGAAGACUGGGUCCCAAAUUUUCUACACCUUGCUGUGGUCUCUGCAGUCAUUUACUAAGGAAACAUUAUUUAUUCAGUGUUUGACACUCCUGGUUUCUAAAAAAGAUACUGACAAUACAAAUAUACCCUUAAGGAGCUCACAGCAUAAUUGUAAAACAUAUCUUUAAAUAAAUAAUGACGAUUGGGUAUGGUACCAGCAUGAUAAACCUUGUCUGGAUGGUGAUUUAAAAGUUUAUCCAAGAGCCACAAGCCCUGUUCUGUUUCUUCAUGCAUUAGUUCAUCUCUGAAACACUGAACUUCAUCCUUAAAGAUAGCUAUCACAUUGGUGCCUCACAUCUGAAAGUUGGAUAAAAGACAGUAGAGGUCCUGUGUACCUGUUCCUCCAUUUUUACCUCAAUGACCUGCUUUUGCAGGCAGGUAUGCAGUAGUUUUAAGCCAGUAUCUUGAAAGUGGGGUGGAUAUGAUGAUCAAUGGAGAUGAAAGACACAAAUAUAACAUCUAUUUACAUUUAUUUGUAUCUUUAAAAAUGUUUUUAAAAAUGCUGUUUUCUCAUAUUUUAAUACUUUCAUUAGGGCUGUCUGUUGAAUGAGCACAUAUCGUGUACAGUAGGCAUAGUACCCUCCAGAAAGACUGAGAAGUUCCCAGAACAGAGGAAGGUAUCCACCCUUUUUUCCUUUUCAGGGUGUUGUAGCAUAUUGCAUUUUGUUGAUGCUUGGUUGAGUGGGUUUAGGAUUAUAUCAUUUAAAUUAGGGGUCAGCACACUAUGGUCCCUGAGCCAAAUCUGGCCUGCUGCCUAUUUUUGCAAAUGAACUUUCACUGGAGCACAGCAUGCUCAUUCUUCUGCGUAUUGUCUAUUGCUGCUUUCAGACAAUGGCAGAGUUUAGUAGUUGUGACAGAGACCAUAUGUCUCAGAAAACCCAAAAUUUUUACUCUCAAACCCAUUACAGAAAACAUUUGCCAAACCUUGUCCUAAAUAGUUCCAUUUUUGCAAAAUGUUGUAAGACUAGGGAGAAGGACGGUGAGAGUGGAAAGGAGAAUUGUACCCAUGAAAAUCUUUAUACUACACCUAGGUUAUCUAAUGACAUUUUUAUUUUAUGAAAACACACAUCUCAAAGUAGCUGACCUUUUUUUUUUUUUUUUUUUGAGAUGGAGUUUUGCUCUUGUUGCCCAGGCUGGAGUGCAGUGGCACGGUCUUAGUUCACUGUAACCUCCACCUUCUGAUUUCAAACUUAAUUCUCCUGCCUCAGCCUCCUGAAUAGUUGGGAUUACAGGUGCCCACCACCACACCAUGUUGGCCAGGGUGGUCUCAAACUCCUGACCUUGUGAUCUGCUGGCCUUAGCCUCCCAAAGUGCUGGGAUUACAGGUGUGAGCCACUAGGCCUGGCCUGUCCUUUUUUUUCUUGUGAUGACAAGUAGCUAACUCUAGUGACCUAGAAGAUAUUUUGGGGAAAAAUAAAAAAAAGACUCAACAUUUAAACUGUCUUUUCAAGGUAAAAGGACAUUUUUAAACAGUGAGUGAGAAAAACAUAUGUAAUUUAACAAGAAACCUACUAUGAAAAAUUUUGAAAAAUAAUAUUUUGAUGUUUCCAUUUUAUCUAGUUCUGUUUCUUAAAAAGUAUUAUCACAUAAAAGUGUUCACAUCUGCAUUCUUAGAAACACUUGGAAGCAGAAUUUUCCUUUAAAAGCUAUCCAAAUGAGGAGUUUCGGUAAAAUUUGAAGAGAUAUAUUAAAAAUAUAAAAAUACACUUUUCUAUUCAUUUGCAAGAACAACUGAUUGACAUCUAGAAUUAUGGAUAUUUGCUAGCUGAUUUUCAACAGAAAUUUUUGCUUAAGGAGAUUAAGAAUGAAAAAUUAGAUUUAUGAUUUAGUAAGCUCAGCCAGUGAUGGACUUCUUCCAAUCAGACAUAUCUUUGUGAUAUCCUUUUUCCAGCUACUAUUGUUAAUAUUUUUUAGUGAGGACAAAAGAAUUAU